UUCUAACUGAUAUAGAUAAAUCUUUCUAGAGUUACCAUAACAGUUUCCUGGCAACAUAUUUUACAGCAAUGGAAGAUCACAUGAGUAAAUGUAAUGAAUAAAGCUCCGGAUUUUGGUCUAAUCGUUUGAAAUAAUGAGAUGAGGAGUCCAGGGCAGACGGUAUUAGGACACUGCUCCUCUUCAUUAUAAGGUUGGAACAUAAAGAAGUCAGGCAUCUGUCAUCUGCUGCUUUGAACACAGACAUCAUCAACUAUACGGAGGCAAAAGAAGAAAACCAAAGCAAACAAACAAAAAAACCCAAAACAAACAAAAAUAAGUCUGCAUAAAUACAGAGAUACUCACAUAUGUUUUAACUGCUUCCAUUUAAAUAAUUAUAAAUAAGCCAUUCAGAAGAAUAAGCAUGAGGCAGAACACUGUGGAAGUGAGGAAGAAGAGGUCACCAUGAGGUAAAGGGAGUUCAUCAGGAUGACAGACAGUUACACCAGAGCCAGACAAGGAGAGACUGAGGACACACAGCUGAGGUGAGCUAGGUCAACUCCAAGCAUUCUACUUCAAGGAAGAUGAUGAGCAUCGAAGAACCUCCAUAUGGAGUUUGAUUCAAAAGUGGUAACCUGAAUAUUGGGCAAAAAACUACCCUUGCUCCAACGGUAAACAAAAUGCUGUUCAAACUGGACAACAGGACACAGGGAAGUCAACUGCCAAACUUUUCAGGACAAGAGAAAGAGUCUGGAAGCACAGAGUGCAUCCACUUCUCUGAAGAGACAAAUCAAAUGGGAACUCGAACAUCCAUCCAGGUCCUCAAAGUGUGCUUUGUGGAGUGGUGAGAACUGACUCAAAGAAUUCUCAUGCUUGUUGAAGUGCAUUUGGAAGAAGCUGUGAAAAUAGGAAAAGAAAGAAGUUAAAAAUAUCAAAUGAAGCUGAUAGAAAUUUCCCACCUUAUGACUCAAUCUCUUAUUUGCAGUGUCGUUGAAGACAGACCUAUAGUGAAGUGAACUGAUUGUAUUAUAAAUGCACAUCAAUGCACCAGUGUUCUAGCCUUACUCUUGCCAUAUACCGUGGAAAAUAGACUGAUUAAAUUUCCUCAUUGUUGCUAA